rnacentral:rRNA from 1 species
CAGCCGCCGCGGGAAUACGUAGGUCCCGAGCGUUGUCCGGAUUUAUUGGGCGUAAAGCGAGCGCUGGCGGUCAGAUAAGUCUGAAGCUAAAGGCUGUGGCUUAACCAUAGUACGCUUUGGAAACUGUUUAACUUGAGUGCAAGAGGGGAGAGUGGAAUUCCAUGUGUAGCGGUGAAAUGCGUAGAUAUAUGGAGGAACACCGGUGGCGAAAGCGGCUCUCGGGCUUGUAACUGACGCUGAGGCUCGAAAGCGUGGGGAGCAAACAGGAUUAGAUACCCCUGUAGUCCCUGUCUCUUAUACA